GUGGUUGUAGCUCAGUUGGUUAGAGCAUCGGUUUGUGGUGCCGAGGGUCGUGGGUUCGAAUCCCAUCUACCACC
rnacentral:tRNA from 2 species